rnacentral:rRNA from 1 species
GUAGGGAAUCUUCCACAAUGGGCGCAAGCCUGAUGGAGCAACGCCGCGUGAGUGAAGAAGGUCUUCGGAUCGUAAAACUCUGUUGUUAGUGAAGAACAUGCAGGAGAGUAACUGUUCUUGUAUUGACGGUAUCUAACCAGAAAGCCACGGCUAACUACGUGCCAG